rnacentral:lncRNA from 1 species
UUUCUCAUGGCCAUGUGGGCAGCCUUCACAUUAGGUUCUCUCCACCUUUUUUUUCUUGUCUGUUUACUUCUCUUAUUUAUAAGAGAAAACCCUAGCCUUAUAUUUAUACUAGGGCUUAAAAAGAAACAAUAAUUUAUGCAAGGCACAAGCCCUUUAAUGCAUAAUUUCUGUAUCACCAUCUAAGCCCAAAGUCAAUUAGAUA